rnacentral:ncRNA from 2 species
UCGCGCACCAGGGGGUGUCCCGGCAAGGGGCUGAGAGGCUGCUGGCGCAUAUACUGCGCGGCGCGGCGACCCUUUGAACCUGAUCCGGAUCAUGCCGGCGAAGGGAUGGGAAGGGACCAGCCG